rnacentral:misc_RNA from 1 species
UCUUCACCACAGGAUCACCUUCAUCGGUCUUCACAACUGUGGCUUGGGCGAUCGUCGCAUGUCGGCUUGGAAGCAUUUCGAUCUCAGCCAACACCUUCUUUAUGUCGGUAAUAAGGCGAUCAGCAAGGCUCCUACUGAAGUCCUCUCUGAUCACCACACGGAGGACUGCAAUGUGUUGGGCAUUGGCAGGCAUAGUGUAGGCGGGAAUGAUCCAUCCAAACCUCCUUAGAGUUUCUGCUAUCUCGAAUACGGUGUGCUUGCUGCUGUCUUUGAGAGAGAAUGCCACGAGGGGUACACCAAUGUCCUUGGAGACGAUCUCAAACCGCCCUGUUUCCUCCAGUCCUUCCUUCAGUACUCUGGCGUUCUCCAUGCAAUUUUCCAUUAUGUUUUUGUACCCCUCAAAGCCCAAGCGGAUGAACUGGUAGUACUGUGCAAUUAUCUGACUGGAACCUUUAGAAAAAUUGAG